rnacentral:rRNA from 1 species
AUUGAACGCUGGCGGCAUGCCUUACACAUGCAAGUCGAACGGCAGCACGGGGCAACCUGGUGGCGAGUGGCGAACGGGUGAGUAAUGCAUCGGAACGUACCUUUCAGUGGGGGAUAACGUAGCGAAAGUUACGCUAAUACCGCAUAUUCUGUGAGCAGGAAAGCAGGGGAUCGCAAGACCUUGCGCUGAUUGAGCGGCCGAUGUCAGAGUAGCUAGUUGGUGAGGUAAAGGCUCACCAAGGCGACGAUCUGUAGCGGGUCUGAGAGGAUGAUCCGCCACACUGGAACUGAGACACGGUCCAGACUCCUACGGGAGGCGGCAGUGGGGAAUUUUGGACAAUGGGGGCAACCCUGAUCCAGCCAUGCCGCGUGAGUGAAGAAGGCCUUCGGGUUGUAAAGCUCUUUCGGCCGGGAAGAAAUCGCACGGGCUAAUACCCUGUGUGGAUGACGGUACCGGAAUAAGAAGCACCGGCUAACUACGUGCCAGCAGCCGCGGUAAUAC